GGCGGAGUGGCUCAGGUGGUCAGAGUGCCUGCCUAACAAGCAUGAGGUCCUGAGUUCAAGCCCCAGUACAGCCA